CAGUGAAUGAGCAAAGAUGAGAGGAACACACAAAGUAAAAGGUCAGAGGGAAGCAGAACAUGUUCUCAUGUUUAUUCAGAUUUGCUUAAUGAAGUUUAGACAAUAAUGAUCACACUGAUGAUGUGACAGUUUCCUUCUGGUCCCUCCUCUGAGGUCAGAGCCUGAAGAUGUUUCAAUCAGACACUCUGAAGCUCUUUGAGUGUGGAGAGAGUAAAACAUGUGACAUCAAUGUCUCAAAGUCACAAUAAUAAGAAGAACGUUUCAUCUUUAUCAAAGUCACAUCACAUGUUACAAAGUGCUGCCCCACUGCUGUGUGCACCAUAUGAACAUGUGACACCAUCUCAGUGUUUAAGUGAACUCCUCAUCCUCUCCUUCAGUCUGAACCAGGAAGUGAUGUCAGCACAGAUCAGAGUUUUUCCUCUUUGACUGAAUGUUGUAGGUGAAACUUUUAGAGGACAGCAAUCAGCUGCUCUGUGAUUCUACAGCCUGUGAUUCCAGUUUUUACAGAUUCAAGAAGAUCUGAGGCCGACUCAAUGAUCUGCUGUGAGAACACACUCACAUGUGACAGAAACCCUCAGAGACACAAAGUAACAUUUUAGUGUUUUGUAAUAAAGUAACACACUGACACUGAUCACAGCUUCACUUUCUCUGAAAGCAGCUUUGAGCAGCAAUCAGCAGGAUUCUGGUGAUCAGCUGUUCAGGUUUAGGACGGAGCUCAGACGAUCCUGGUCACACUGAGCAGGGACGGUUUGCUCAUCUGGACUGUUUGUGUUGUUGUUUGAUAGCAUCACGGUGUCAUAUAUCAAUCAAUCAAAGCUUUAUUCGUCACAUGCAGGUUGCCCUGCAGUGAAAUGGGACCCCCCCCCGACCUUACACAUACAACACAGACAUUACAUGGGGAUACAGGUCGGAGAUUGGUAGCAUUAGAGAAAAACAUUGAAAUGUACAUUACAAUGGGAAAGUACAAGAGGAACAAAAGAGACCCCUACUCAUGCUGUGCCUCCAUGGUAGGACAGCAUGAGAACAGGAAACAAAAAAACUCCUC
rnacentral:lncRNA from 1 species